GGCGAACGGGUGAGUAACACGUGGGUAAUCUGCCCUGCACUCUGGGAUAAGCCUGGGAAACUGGGUCUAAUACUGGAUAUGACCUUGGCCCGCAUGGGUUGUGGUGGAAAGUUUUUCGGUGGGGGAUGGGCUCGCGGCCUAUCAGUUUGUUGGUGAGGUAGUGGCUCACCAAGGCGAUGACGGGUAGCCGGCCUGAGAGGGCGACCGGCCACACUGGGACUGAGACACGGCCCAG
rnacentral:rRNA from 1 species